GACGUAGGGCGCGAGCGUUUGUCCGGAUUUAUUGGGCGUAAAGAGCUCGUAGGCGGCUUGUCGCGUCGAAUGUGAAAUCUCGGGGCUCAACUCCGAGCUUGCAUUCGAUACGGGCAGGCUAGAGUUCGGUAGGGGAGACUGGAAUUCCUGGUGUAGCGGUGAAAUGCGCAGAUAUCAGGAGGAACACCGAUGGCGAAGGCAGAUCUCUGGGCCGUUACUGACGCUGAGGAGCGAAAGCAUGGGGAGCGAACAGG
rnacentral:rRNA from 1 species